rnacentral:rRNA from 1 species
GACGAACGCUGGCGGCGUGCUUAACACAUGCAAGUCGAACGAAGAGCGAUGGAAGCUUGCUUCUAUCAAUCUUAGUGGCGAACGGGUGAGUAACGCGUAAUCAACCUGCCCUUCAGAGGGGGACAACAGUUGGAAACGACUGCUAAUACCGCAUACGAUCUAAACUCGGCAUCGAGGAUAGAUUAAAGGUGGCCUCUACAUGUAAGCUAUCACUGAAGGAGGUGAUUGCGUAUGAUUAGCUAGUUGGAGGGGUAACGGCCCACCAAGGCGAUGAUCAGUAGCAGCUCUGAGAGGAUGAAGGGCAAAACUGGGACUGACACACGGCCCCGACUACUACGGGAGGCAGCACUGGGGCAACUUCCGAAAUGGACGCAAGACUGAAGGAGCCAAACCGGGUGAGUGAUGACGGGCUUCGGGUUGCAAAGCUCUGUUAAUCGGGAAGAAAGGCCUUCUUGCGAAUAGUGGGAACGAUUGACGGUACCGGAACAGAAAGCCACGGCUAACUCCGUG